GACUUGCGCGGUGACACAGAGGGACAGAAAGGUCAGAAAGGGAGAGAGGGAGCGAGAGAAAGACAGAGUGAGGGAAACAGAAAGAGAGGGAGCAAGAGAAAAACAGAGUGAGGGAGACAGAAAGAGAAGGAGCGAUAGAAAGAGAGCGAGAGACAGAGAGAGAGCGAACUGAACGGCGCAUCCAAGAGGAUAACUGCCUGUUUAUUCACUGUGUCUCUGGCUCCUGCUCUCCCCCCCUGUUCUCUCUUACACAUGCGCCUGCGCACACACUCUGACACACACUUUCAGACUCACACACACAUACAUGCUGACAGUCACCUGCAAAGCCACUGUGCUCAGGCUGGGAAAUGAGUAGGCUUAUAGUUGAGGAGAUGACUCUGAGGAGAAGAGAGUGAAACAGAGGGCACAGCAGGGAGGGAGGGAGGGAGGGAGAGAGAGAGAGAGAGAGAGAGAGAGAAGAGGAGGAGAGGGACAGAUGGAGUCCUUACUGAUGAUGCUAGGGAACGGAGAACACCGAGCAGCAGUGAAAGAGAGAUGUGAAAGAAAUAAAGGGGGAAAAAACUGGAGCGAUGUAAGAAUGGAACAAACAGAGCAUAGGAAAGAAGAGGAAGAAGCAUAUGAGUGAAAAAGAAGAGAGAUAGAGAUGGUGUGUGUGACUCUGUUCAGCAUUCUGAAGGAUAUUCCCAGCAUCAUUUCACUUCUACCCAAACAGCCCACGACAGAGGGAGAGGAGGAAUGGUCCCAGGAGAGUAGGAAAAGGGACAACAGAUUAUCAGAGGACAGGUGUAAAGGAGCGAUAUAAGGAAUACAUGCAGUGGAGUUACUGGUUCCUGAACGCACCCUGUCUGGUUGCCAGGCGACGAAGCUAGGCGGGAGAUCUCUCGAUUACCCGCACCUGCAUCUCAUCAGCUAUCUGCACACCUGGUCCUGAUCAUCACCUCUUCACUUUAUAAGCUCUGACCUGACAUCCAUUACCUGCCGGAUUGUUAGCAAUGAACAUCAUUCUCCCGGAACAUUCAACCCCCUUGCCUGGUCGUCGGUGGUUUCAGUGACAUCAUUGGAUCUGCCUAUUCACUCUCAUCAACUCACCUCCGCUGCCGCUCCGUCUCCUGGAUUAUUCUAUUUUCACCUUGACUCUGUAAAUAAAUACUCACCUUCAUUUUACUCACCUUGUCCUGUUUUUUUUAUGGCGGUUUUGGAGCAGUG